UACGUAGGGAGCGAGCGUUGUCCGGAUUCAUUGGGCGUAAAGAGCUCGUAGGCGGCUUGGCAAGUCGGGUGUGAAAACUCCAGGCUCAACCUGGAGACGCCACCCGAUACUGCCAUGGCUAGAGUCCGGUAGGGGACCACGGAAUUCCUGGUGUAGCGGUGAAAUGCGCAGAUAUCAGGAGGAACACCGGUGGCGAAGGCGGUGGUCUGGGCCGGAACUGACACUGAGGAGCGAAAGCGUGGGGAGCGAACAGG
rnacentral:rRNA from 1 species